AGGGUUCGAUUCUGGCUCAGGAUGAACGCUAGCUACAGGCUUAACACAUGCAAGUCGAGGGGCAGCAUGGGAUUAGCUUGCUAAUCCUGAUGGCGACCGGCGCACGGGUGAGUAACGCGUAUCCAACCUUCCCCUUACUCAGGGAUAGCCCGGUGAAAACCGGAUUAACACCUGAUAGUUUCACUAGAUGGCAUCUGACGGUGAAUAAAGCUUUGCGGUAAGGGAUGGGGAUGCGUCUGAUUAGCUUGUUGGCGGGGUAACGGCCCACCAAGGCAACGAUCAGUAGGGGUUCUGAGAGGAAGGUCCCCCACAUUGGAACUGAGACACGGUCCAAACUCCUACGGGAGGCAGCAGUGAGGAAUAUUGGUCAAUGGGCGAGAGCCUGAACCAGCCAAAGUAGCGUGCAGGAAGACGGCCCUAUGGGUUGUAAACUGCUUUUGUACGGGAAUAAAGUGACCUACGUGUGGGUUUUUGCAUGUACCGUAAGAAUAAGGACCGGCUAAUUCCGUGCCAGCCGCUGC
rnacentral:rRNA from 1 species